GUAGGGGGCAAGCGUUGUUCGGAAUUACUGGGCGUAAAGGGCAUGUAGGCGGCCUUGUAAGCUUGGCGUGAAAGUCCAUGGCUCAACCAUGGGAUUGCGUUGAGAACUGCGAGGCUUGAGUGACGGAGAGGGAGCUAGAAUUCCUGGUGUAGGGGUGGAAUCUGUAGAGAUCAGGAAGAAUACCAAUGGCGAAGGCAAGCUCCUGGCCGAUGACUGACGCUGAGGUGCGAAAGUGUGGGGAUCAAAC
rnacentral:rRNA from 1 species